rnacentral:lncRNA from 1 species
AUAUAUAUAGACAUAGAAGAGAAAAGUAUUACCAUUGAAAGUGUACAUAUCUUGACAUGUAACCAUUAUAACCAUUAUAACCCUCACUACCAUUAUAACCCUCACUACCAUUAUAACCAUCACUACCAUUAUAACCCUCACUACCAUUAUAACCCUCAUUACCAUUACAACCCUCAUUACCAUUAUAACCCUCACUACCAUUAUAACCCUCACUACCAUUAUAACCCUCAUUACCAUUACAACCCUCACUACCAUUAUAACCCUCACUACCAUUAUAACCCUCAUUACCAUUAUAACCCUCAUUACCAUUACAACCCUCAUUACCAUUAUAACCCUCACUACCAUUAUAACCCUCAUUACCAUUACAACCCUCAUUACCAUUACAACCCUCACUACCAUUAUAACCCUCAUUACCAUUAUAACCCUCACUACCAUUACAACCCUCACUACCAUUAUAACCCUCACUACCAUUAUAACCCUCAUUACCAUUAUAACCCUCACUACCAUUAUAACCCUCACUACCAUUACAACCCUCACUACCAUUACAACCCUCACUACCAUUAUAACCCUCAUUACCAUUAUAACCCUCACUACCAUUACAACCCUCACUACCAUUAUAACCCUCAUUACCAUUAUAACCCUCAUUACCAUUACAACCCUCAUUACCAUUAUAACCCUCACUACCAUUACAACCCUCAUUACCAUUAUAACCCUCACUACCAUUAUAACCCUCAUUACCAUUACAACCCUCAUUACCAUUACAACCCUCAUUACCAUUACAACCCUCACUACCAUUAUAACCCUCAUUACCAUUACAACCCUCAUUACCAUUAUAACCCUCAUUACCAUUACAACCCUCACUACCAUUAUAACCCUCACUACCAUUAUAACCCUCACUACCAUUACAACCCUCACUACCAUUAUAACCCUCACUACCAUUACAACCCUCACUACCAAUUUAACCCUGAUAUUCAUGACUCUAACAGUAAUGAUAGUUUGUUGAUAUGCUGUGAUCAUCUGUACCCAGAUCAUCCAAAGAACCUUCCAGAUCUAUUUCUCAUUGAAUUGUAA